GAUGAACGCUGGCGGCGUGCCUAACACAUGCAAGUCGAGCGGAAAGACGAUGAGCUUUUUCUUUUACCGUUAGCGGCUGGCGGGCGAGUAACGCGUGGAUCACCCACUUCUAUUUCUUGGAUAAUUACGUGAAACCGGUUCCAAUACUAGCUCAUAUAUUGUACCGCUUGGUUCAAUGGAUAUUCUCGGCUUUGGCGUCUCUAUUAGCUGGUUUCGCGCCGGAUUAGUUAGUUGGUAAGGUAACGGCCUACCAAGGCUACGAUGCGUAGCCGAACUGAGGGGGUGAUCGGCCACACUGGAACUGAGACACGGUCCAGACUCCUACGGGAGGCAGCAGUAGGGAAUAUUGGGCAAUGGGCGAAAGCCUGACGCAGCAACACCGCGUGAGUGAAGAAGGUCUUCGGAUCGUAAAGCCCUGUUGUUGGGAAAGAACAGCUGUAGGAGAAGACAUGGAUGUCUUGACGGUACCUAAUGAAAAAGCAACGGCUAACUACGUG
rnacentral:rRNA from 1 species